UGACCAGUUGAAUGGCCUUUGACCUGACUUUCCAUGUGCGGGGAAAAUCAUGGCCCUAAGAGAGUCAGACUGGACCAACUUGUGGAGCUUCCUUGACAAGCCUGCACUAGGCUUCCGGGUCUACACUGUGCUUACCACCCCGCCCUUGGUCAGCAUCUUGACUCUUCCCAGCACUGCACAUUAGUGUGUAGUCUCUUCCCUUACUCACUUCGUAAAGGGACAGCCUAGCCUAUUUCUUUUAAUGCUGUUUGAGACCUGUUAAUGGUUGUAGCCUGGUCAGAAAAAGGACUCCUGGAUCCUCCUGGAAGCUUCGUGAUUUGUUACUGCUAAUUCACGUUUACCCACAAUGAGCAUCCAUACAUGGGUUCUGAAGAUUAAAGUCAUCCUUGAGAAGGGAGAGUGGAAUGCCAAAACUUUUCUUGGAUUCCAGAGCUCUGGUUCAUGUCUGCAACAUGGAUGCAAUGAUAUAACCUUAUUUUAUGUAUCAUCCAUUCACCUGUUGAUCAAAGACUGUAUUCAAGAUGGCAGGCACGGUGAAGUCAAUGAUAACUCUAGUUUAUUGAGAAACUACUCGGCAUCAUACAUUAUCUUAAUUAAUCCUCUUUACAAUCCCAGAAAGUGUUCCUUAUCCUUUAUCUUCAAGUACCCUAAGGUGCAAAGCACAGAAGGAGGGGUGGUUUAGAAAGACUGGGCUCGGCCGGGCGCAGUGGCUCACGCCUGUAAUCCCAGCACUUUGGGAGGCCGAGGUAGGCGAAUCACCUGAGGACCGGAGUUCAAGACCAGCCUAACCAACAUGGAGAAAUCCCGUCUCUACUAAAAAUACAAAAUUAGCCGGGUGUGGUGGCGCAUGCCUGUAAUCCCAUCUACUCUGGAGGCUGAGGCAGGAGAAUGGCUUGAACCUGGGAGGCAGAGGUUGCUGUGAGCCGAGAUCACGCCAUCGCACUCCAGCCUAGGCAACAAGAGCGAAACUCCAUCUCAAAAAAAAAAAAAAAGAAAAGAAAGAAAGACUGGGCUCUAGUCUUGGGACUAUUAUUUAAAAGUUGUUUGUCUUCCUUUUUCUGAGACUGUCUCGCCAUCUCUAAAGUAAGGAUAAUAUUAACCAUCCUGCUUGCCACACAGGGAGUAAUUUUGCAAAAUAUAUUAGGCUUUGAAGGAAGAAGUCGUUCUAACAGUCCCUAGCUAGAACUUGAGUGACUUAAAGGUAUUGGUUUAGUUACUUUAAUGCUUUUUUGUUGUGGGCUUUUAAAAAAAUCUAUAAGGGGGUUAGGUUGCUUAGAUAACAUUUCUGUUUUCAAAGACAGUCUAAGCAUUGUGGAAAGCAAGACUCUGACAUAUGUGGACACAUUAAGCCACUGCACACGUGUCUUAUCAGCAAGCAGUACCAGAAAAAAACAAUGGCUGGUUCUGCUGAAAUUGUGAGCAUUCUCUUGUGUCAGCCAUGCUUGUGUGGCUAGAACAUAGGGAGGAAGAAGGCAAUGGCAUGGGUCGAGACGGGAAACGUGGC
rnacentral:lncRNA from 1 species